rnacentral:rRNA from 1 species
AUGAACCGGCGAGUUACGAUUUGUUGCAAGGUUAAGCGGAAAAAGCGGAGCCGUAGCGAAAGCGAGUCUGAAUAGGGCGCAUAAGUAACAGGUCGUAGACCCGAAACCAGGUGAUCUACCCAUGUCCAGGAUGAAGGUAAGGUAAUACUUACUGGAGGUCCGAACCCACGCACGUUGAAAAGUGCGGGGAUGAGGUGUGGGUAGCGGAGAAAUUCCAAUCGAACUUGGAGAUAGCUGGUUCUCUCCGAAAUAGCUUUAGGGCUAGCCUCGAGGUAAAGAGUCAUGGAGGUAGAGCACUGUUUGGACUAGGGGCCCUUCUCGGGUUACCGAAUUCAGAUAAACUCCGAAUGCCAUGUACUUAUACUCGGGAGUCAGACUGCGAGUGAUAAGAUCCGUAGUCGAAAGGGAAACAGCCCAGACCACCAGUUAAGGUCCCCAAAUAUAUGUUAAGUGGAAAAGGAUGUGGGGUUGCUUAGACAACCAGGAUGUUGGCUUAGAAGCAGCCACCAUUGAAAGAGUGCGUAAUAGCUCACUGGUCGAGUGACCCCGCGCCGAAAAUGUACCGGGGCUAAACAUAUUACC